rnacentral:lncRNA from 1 species
AUUUUUCAUUUUUAUAGGGCUAUACGGACUCGAACCGUAGACCUUCUCGGUAAAACAGAUCAAACUUCUUAUUAUUAAAAUGAUCUGAACUGUUUCAAAGACCCAACAUGCAUUUUUUUUGCAUUGGGCUCCUUCAUUAACUGAUCUAAAUAUCAGUUAGUCUGCCAUUUUUUUUCUUGACAUAAAAAAAGAUAAGGAAAUGGCUCCAUGUGCUCUGAUUCAUUAUUUGGGAGCAUUACCAAAGUGUUUCAAAGGUGGGAUUAUCUUGACGUAGGUCUGUCUCUGGCCUAGAUCAACCUAAGUUAAAUGAAGUCUCUAUCGUUCUGCUUAAAAAUCAAAUAUGAAACUUCAUACACCUUAAAGUUCAUAUGACGAAAAGAGAUUUUUUUGAGGUCCUUAUACUCAUUAUGGCCUAGCAUUGAAUAGACUGGGUAUUCACCUUAUCAAGAUCUCAAAUCAAUGAUGGGGUCUGUUUGGCACCUCCUAAAUGGGCGUCCAAAUUGGACCGAACCCUUUGUCAGGCUAUGGUUCCCUCAAAGUUAUGGAGUAAGACAUCGAUUUCUCAACAAGAUCAAUUUUUCUGAUUGUAUGAUGAACUCCCUUGAAAAACAUUGGCGCGCGUGUAAACGAGUUGCUCUACCAACUGAGCUAUAGCCCUUAGUGCUUGUGAUACAUAUUUUAUCAUGUAGGUAAAUUCUUGUCAAGAGAAAUAUUCCAGGAUCCAACAUCAAGAAUCUUUGAUCUCUUUGAGUGGUAUUCCUUAUAUUAGUAUUGCUUAUAAGUAAUAUGAUAUUUAUAAUCCAUCGACAGGAUGGGUUUCGUUUGGUUCUCUUUGGGAUGAUAAAUGACCUACUUAACUCAGUGGUUAGAGUACUGCUUUCAUACGGCGGGAGUCAUUGGUUCAAAUCCAAUAGUAGGUAAAACUUAUUAGAUACCAGAGUCAAUGGUAUCUAAUAAGGUUUACAACCCACCUUUAGUGAUAUUUUUUUUUUUUAUUUUGUAUCUUUUCUAUUUCAUUUUUUAAUUUGAAUUUUUGCAUCAGAAUUGGAUUCUGUUUGAUUGUAUUUGAUUGUAUUCACCCGACAGAAUCUAAAUAGGAUUAGAAAGAGAACUUCUUUUUAUUAUUCGAACGUACCAACUAGUUAUGAAAUCGGAUUGCUAGCCUCCACCCGUGUUCUAGCUCGUCGGAGAGCUAGAUUUGCCUCAAUUUUUUGUCUCCUUCCUUCAGCCUUUUUCACAUUAGCUUCCGCUAUUUCAAGAGUUUGCUGAGCUUCUUGUGGAUUAAUGUCACUACCCUUCUCCGCAUCAUUUACUAAAACAGUGAUCUCAUUAUUUCCUAUUCUAGCAAAACCACCCAUCAGAGCCAUCGUUAACCAUUGGUCGUUAAGGCGUAUUCUCAAAAUCCCUAUAUCUACAGCUGUGGCAAUAGGGGCGUGAUUUGGUAAUAUGCCAAUUUGACCACUAUUAGUAGAUAAAACAAUUUCUUCCACUUCUGAAUCCCAAACAAUUCGAUUAGGGGUCAGUACACUAAGAUUUAAGGUCAUUUCUUCAAAUUGCUCUCCAUUUCUAAGUUCAUAGCCUUCGCGGUAGCUUCAUCGAUAGUACCUACCAAAUAAAAGGCCUGUUCAGGAAGACCAUCUAAUUCUCCGGAAAGGAUCAAUUGAAAUCCUCGAAUUGUUUCUGCUAGACCAACAUAUUUCCCUGGAGAACCGGUAAAUACUUCUGCUACGAAAAAGGGUUGUGAUAAGAAACGCUCAAUUUUUCGCGCUCUUGCUACGAGUAAACGAUCCUCUUCGGAUAAUUCGUCCAAUCCAAGGAUAGCUAUAAUGUCCUGAAGUUCUUUGUAACGUUGUAAAGUUUGCUUAACUCUUUGGGCGGUUUCGUAAUGUUCCUCACCAACGAUCCGAGGUUGAAGCAUGGUUGACGUUGAAUCUAAAGGAUCUACUGCUGGAUAAAUACCUUUGGCAGCCAAUCCCCUUGAUAGUACGGUAGUAGCAUCUAAAUGUGCAAAUGUCGUAGCAGGAGCAGGGUCGGUCAAAUCGUCUGCGGGUACAUAAACUGCUUGAAUAGAGGUUAUGGACCCUUCUUUGGUAGAAGUAAUUCUUUCUUGUAAAGAACCCAUUUCGGUACUUAGGGUCGGUUGAUAACCCACAGCGGAAGGCAUUCUACCCAAUAAGGCCGAUACUUCGGAUCCUGCUUGGACGAAACGGAAGAUAUUGUCAAUAAAUAGAAGUACGUCUUGCUCAUUAACAUCUCGGAAAUAUUCCGCCAUAGUUAGGGCAGUCAAACCAACUCUCAUACGAGCUCCCGGCGGUUCAUUCAUCUGACCGUAAACUAGGGCCACUUUUGAUUCUGCAAUAUUUUCUUUAUUAAUCACUCCAGAUUCUUUCAUUUCCAUGUAAAGAUCAUUUCCUUCCCGAGUACGUUCACCCACUCCGCCAAAUACGGAUACGCCCCCGUGAGCUUUAGCAAUAUUGUUAAUCAAUUCCAUAAUGAGUACUGUUUUACCCACUCCAGCUCCCCCGAAUAGUCCGAUUUUUCCUCCACGGCGAUAAGGGGCUAAAAGAUCUACUACUUUAAUUCCUGUUUCAAAAAUAGAUAAUUUUGUAUCCAACUGUAUAAAGGCGGGCGCAGAUCUAUGAAUAGGAGACGUUGUACUAGUAUCUACAGGCCCUAAAUUAUCAACAGGCUCUCCGAGCACGUUAAAAAUUCGUCCCAGAGUCGCUCCCCCAACUGGAACACUUAUAGGAGCUCCUGUGUCAAUCACUGCCAUUCCUCUCGUUAGACCUUCUGUAGCACUCAUAGCUACAGCCCUAACUCGAUUAUUUCCUAAUAAUUGCUGUACCUCACAAGCCACAUUAAUUGGUUGACCAACACUAUCUCGACCUUGAACUACCAGAGCGUUAUAAAUAUUUGGCAUCUUGCCCGGGGGAAAGGCUACAUCUAGUACCGGACCGAUGAUUUGGACGACACGCCCCGGGUUUUUUUUUUCAAGCGUGGAAACCCCAGAACCAGAAGUAGUAGGAUUGAUUCUCAUAAUAAUAAAAUAAAUAUGUCGAAAUGUUUUUUCCAAAAUUAUCGAAUUCAAAAAAAAUGUCCGCUAGCACGUCGAUCGGUUAAUUCAAUAAAAUCGGAAUUAGCACUCGAUUUCGUUGGCACCAUGCAAUUGAACCAAUCCAAUUGUUUACUUAUUCAAUGAGACUGAGUUAAUUUGGCAGCUCACCCAACCUAUUUUCAUUUAACAAUCUCAAGUGGAUGAAUCAAAAUCUUGAGAAAGUCUUUCAUUUGUCUACCAUUAUAGACAAGCCCAUCCAUAUUAUCGAUUCUAUGGAAUUCGAACCUGAACUUUAUUUUCUAUUUCUAUUACGAUUCAUUAUUUGUAUCUAAUGGGCUCCUCUUCUUAUUUCUUUUUUAUUUCAAUUUCAGCAUAUCGAUUUAUGCCUAGCCUAUUCUUUUCUUUGCGUUUUUCUUUCUUUUUAUACCUUUCAUAGAUUCAUAGAGGAAUUCCAUAUAUUUUCACAUCUAGGAUUUACAUAUACAACAUAUACCACUGUCAAGGGGGAAGUUCUUAUUAUUUAGGUUAGCUAGGUAUUUCCAUUUCAAAAAAAAAAAGAUAAAAAAUCAAAAUUGGGUUGCGCUAUAUAUAUGAAAGAGUAUACAAUAAUGAUGUAUUUGGCAAAUCAAAUACCAUGGUCUAAUAAUCAACCAUUCUGAUUAAUUGAUAAUAUUAGUAUUAGUUGGAAAUUUUGUGACAGAUUCCUGUGAAAAGUUUCAUUAACGCGGAAUUCAUGUCGAGUAGACCUUGUUGUUGUGAUAAUUUUUAAUUCAUGAGUUCUAGGGAGGGAUUUAUGUCACCACAAACAGAGACUAAAGCAAGUGUUGGAUUCAAAGCUGGUGUUAAAGAGUACAAAUUGACUUAUUAUACUCCUGAGUACCAAACCAAGGAUACUGAUAUAUUAGCAGCAUUCCGAGUAACUCCUCAACCUGGAGUUCCACCUGAAGAAGCAGGGGCCGCGGUAGCUGCCGAAUCUUCUACUGGUACAUGGACAACUGUAUGGACCGAUGGACUUACCAGUCUUGAUCGUUACAAAGGGCGAUGCUACCGCAUCGAGCGCGUUGUUGGAGAAAAAGAUCAAUAUAUUGCUUAUGUAGCUUACCCUUUAGACCUUUUUGAAGAAGGUUCCGUUACCAAUAUGUUUACUUCCAUUGUAGGUAACGUAUUUGGGUUCAAAGCCCUGCGCGCUCUACGUCUGGAAGAUCUGCGAAUCCCUCCUGCUUAUGUUAAAACUUUCCAAGGUCCGCCUCAUGGGAUCCAAGUUGAAAGAGAUAAAUUGAACAAGUAUGGUCGUCCCCUGUUGGGAUGUACUAUUAAACCUAAAUUGGGGUUAUCUGCAAAAAACUACGGUAGAGCUGUUUAUGAAUGUCUUCGCGGUGGACUUGAUUUUACCAAAGAUGAUGAGAACGUGAACUCACAACCAUUUAUGCGUUGGAGAGAUCGUUUCUUAUUUUGUGCCGAAGCACUUUUUAAAGCACAGACUGAAACAGGUGAAAUCAAAGGGCAUUACUUGAAUGCUACUGCAGGUACAUGCGAAGAAAUGAUCAAAAGAGCUGUAUUUGCUAGAGAAUUGGGCGUUCCGAUCGUAAUGCAUGACUACUUAACGGGGGGAUUUACCGCAAAUACUACCUUGGCUCAUUAUUGCCGAGAUAAUGGUCUACUUCUUCACAUCCACCGUGCAAUGCAUGCGGUUAUUGAUAGACAGAAGAAUCAUGGUAUCCACUUCCGGGUAUUAGCAAAAGCGUUACGUAUGUCUGGUGGAGAUCAUAUUCACUCUGGUACCGUAGUAGGUAAACUUGAAGGUGAAAGAGACAUAACUUUGGGCUUUGUUGAUUUACUGCGUGAUGAUUUUGUUGAACAAGAUAGAAGUCGCGGUAUUUAUUUCACUCAAGAUUGGGUCUCUUUACCAGGUGUUCUACCUGUGGCUUCAGGAGGUAUUCACGUUUGGCAUAUGCCUGCUCUGACCGAGAUCUUUGGGGAUGAUUCCGUACUACAGUUCGGUGGAGGAACUUUAGGACAUCCUUGGGGUAAUGCGCCAGGUGCCGUAGCUAAUCGAGUAGCUCUAGAAGCAUGUGUAAAAGCUCGUAAUGAAGGACGUGAUCUUGCUCGGGAAGGUAAUGAGAUUAUUCGCGAGGCUUGCAAAUGGAGCCCGGAACUAGCUGCUGCUUGUGAGGUAUGGAAAGAGAUCGUAUUUAAUUUUGCAGCAGUGGACGUUUUGGAUAAGUAAAAACAGUAGACAUUAGCAGAUAAAUUAGCAGGAAAUAAAGAAGGAUAAGGAGAAAGAACUCAAGUAAUUAUCCUUCGUUCUCUUAAUUGAAUUACAUUACAAUUUAAUUCGGCUCAAUCCUUUUAGUAAAAGAUUGGGCCGAAUACAACUAAGAUUCUAUUGCAUAUAUUUUGAUCAAGAUUUGAAAUACAAAAUCUAGAAAACUAAAUCAAAAUCUAAGACUCAAAUCUUUCUAUUAUUGUCUUGGAUCCACAAUUAAUCCUACGGAUCCUUAGGAUUGGUAUAUUCUUUUCUAUCCUGUAGUUUGUAGUUUCCCUGAAUCAAGCCAAGUAUUCCAACUCUUUCUACCCAUCCUGUAUAUUGUCCCCUUUGUUCCGUGUUGAAAUAGAACCUUAAUUUAUUACUUAUUAUUAGAUUUUAGAUUGUUAGAUUAGUUAGUGAUUAGAUAUUAGUAUUAGACGAGAUUUUACGAAUUUUUUUAUUUCUUUAUAUUUAUAAGAGAGGACAAAUCUCUUUUUUUCGAUGCGAAUUUGACACGACAUAGGAGAAGCCGCCCUUUAUCAAAAAUUCUAUUAUUUUUAUAUUCUUUUUAAUAAUAAAAGGGGGUUCCAACAUAUUAAUAUAUAGUGAAGUGUUCCCCCAGAUUCAGAACUUUUUUUGAAUACUCACAAUCCGUAUUAGUUAAUAAUCCUAGUGAUUGGAUUUCUAUGCUUAGUCUGAUAGGAAAUAAGAUAUUCAAAUAAAGAAUUUUAUAGCGAAUGACUAUUCAUCUAUUGUAUUUUCAUGCAAAUAGGGGGCAAGAAAACUCUAUGGAAAGAUGGUGGUUUAAUUCGAUGUUGUUUAAGAAGGAGUUCGAACGCAGGUGUGGGCUAAAUAAAUCAAUGGGCAGUCUUGGUCCUAUUGAAAAUACCAGUGAAGAUCCAAAUCUAAAAGUGAAAAACAUUCAUAGUUGCAGUAAUGUUGAUUAUUUAUUCGGCGUUAAAGACAUUUGGAAUUUCAUCUCUAAUGACACUUUUUUAGUUAGUGAUAGGAAUGGGGACAGUUAUUCCAUCUAUUUUGAUAUUGAAAAUCAUAUUUUUGAGGUUGACAACGAUCAUUCUUUUCUGAGUGAACUAGAAAGUUCUUUUUAUAGUUAUCGAAACUCGAGUUAUCUGAAUAAUGGAUUUAGGGGCGAAGAUCCCUACUAUAAUUCUUACAUGUAUGAUACUCAAUAUAGUUGGAAUAAUCACAUUAAUAGUUGCAUUGAUAAUUAUCUUCAGUCUCAAAUCUGUAUAGAUACUUCCAUUAUAAGUGGUAGUGAGAGUAACGGUGACAGUUACAUUUAUAGGGCCAUUUGUAGUGGUCAAAGUCUAAAUAGUAGUGAAAACGAGGGUUCCAGUAGACGAACUCGCACAAAGGACAGUGAUUUAACUAUAAGAGAAAGUUCUAAUGAUCUCGAGGUAACUCAAAAAUACAAGCAUUUGUGGGUUCAAUGCGAAAAUUGUUAUGGAUUAAAUUAUAAGAAAUUUUUGAAAUCAAAAAUGAAUAUUUGUGAACAAUGUGGAUAUCAUUUGAAAAUGAGUAGUUCGGAUAGAAUUGAACUUUUGAUCGAUCCGGGUACUUGGGAUCCUAUGGAUGAAGACAUGGUCUCGCUGGAUCCCAUUGAAUUUCAUUCGGAGGAGGAGCCUUAUAAGGACCGUAUUGAUUCUUAUCAAAGAAAGACAGGAUUAACCGAGGCUGUUCAAACAGGCAUAGGCCAACUAAACGGCAUUCCCGUAGCAAUUGGGGUUAUGGAUUUUCAGUUUAUGGGGGGUAGUAUGGGAUCCGUAGUCGGAGAGAAAAUCACCCGUUUGAUUGAACACGCUGCCAAUCAAAAUUUACCUCUUAUGAUAGUGUGUGCUUCUGGGGGGGCGCGCAUGCAGGAAGGAAGUUUGAGCUUGAUGCAAAUGGCUAAAAUAUCGUCUGCUUUAUAUGAUUAUCAAUUAAAUAAAAAAUUAUUUUAUGUAUCAAUCCUUACAUCUCCGACAACUGGUGGAGUGACAGCUAGUUUUGGUAUGUUGGGGGAUAUCAUUAUUGCCGAACCCAAUGCCUACAUUGCAUUUGCAGGUAAAAGAGUAAUUGAACAAACAUUGAAUAAAACAGUACCCGAAGGUUCACAAGCAGCUGAAUACUUAUUCCAGAAGGGUUUAUUCGACCUAAUUGUACCACGUAAUCUUUUAAAAAGCGUUCUGAGUGAGUUAUUUAAGCUCCACGCCUUUUUUCCUUUGAAUCAAAAGUCAAGCAAAAUCAAGUAGAGCACUAAGUUCAAUUAUUUUUUUUGUGUUUGUAGCAAAAAGUAGUUAGUUUAUCGGAAUCAAAGUAAAUAAGAUAAUAAUGGCCUUUUCUUUGGUGAUAGAAGAUCGAAUUGUAGAAAGAAUUAAAACGAAAGUUGAGGAUAACUCUUUUUUUGACCUAUAUUCCUGAUUACGAAUCAAGAAACCUUUAUCACCAAGAGUGAGUUCUUCCUUUCGUGAAAUUAGUAAAAUAAAACGAAUUUGGUCUUGUCUUAGGUAUAUAAUUUGAAAUUUCAAUAGAGAUAAUAGAGUUUUGUAUCUUUCUCUAUCUACCGAAAAACCAUUUUAGCUAAAAAUCCAUGUUGGGUCGGAUUCGAAUGAAUCCGUCGAUAAUCUGUAAAAAACUCUUUAUCUAUUUUUAGAAAAGUAGAAGACAAGAACAAAAGACAAAGAAAUGAAGAAAAAUAAUAAAGUUUAUUAUCAUACAUAUCUUUCUCAUGGAGGAGAUGAAUAAGUCCAUUUAUUUAGUUCUACAGUUCUACAUUCUUUGCACUUAUUCUUAUUAUACGUACUCAGUUAGAUUUAGAUAUAUCGAUACUUCGAUCUAUACUAAGAAUUUCAAAUUCUUCAAAUUCUAUUAAUAAUAAAUAUUAUCUAAUAUCUAAUUAGAAUUCAAAUUCUUAAUUUAAUUAUAAUUAUUACAAGAUAUCUUUAUUUAUAUAAUAACAUAAUAACAGAUACAAAUAGUAAAUCGAGGUACCCCUUCUAUGACAAAUUUGAACCUUCCAUCUAUUUUUGUGCCGUUAGUAGGCCUAGUCUUUCCGGCAAUUGCAAUGGCUUCUUUAUUUCUUCAUGUUCAAAAAAACAAGAUUGUUUAGAUCCGCUGGGACCCAAUCUCAUCCAUUUUUUUUUUUGAAAACGUGGACUUGUAUCAUAACACGGAUAUCUAUUUAUUGGAGUAUAGUAUAACAUGUGAUUUCCACCGAACAUAAAGGAAAAAACUCUUAUGCCCGCAGAAACAUGAUAUAUGGAUAUAUCAAUUCUAGCAAUUUUCAAAUAGAUCAGGAUCUCUGGAUGGCUGAAAUGUAGUCGGUGAAUCUAUAUGUAUAUCGAUAUGUAUAGUGGGAUCGUAUUAAAUAAAGAGUAUGUUAUUAUUUUAGAUUUAACCAAUUUGAUGAAUUACUCCUAAAGGUUGACAUCAAACUAGUGCUAGUUCACCUCAAACUAGUGCUAGUUGAUGAGAGUUACUUCGGAAACAAAAAAGUAAAGUCAAAUUUUUCUGGGGUAUUAUCUCAAUUCCAAUAAAAUGCAAUCGAGUAAAGUAUGACUUGGCGAUCAGACGAUAUAUGGAUAGAACUUAUAACGGGGUCUCGAAAAAUAAGUAAUUUCUGCUGGGCCUUGAUCCUUUUUUUAGGUUCAUUAGGCUUCUUAUUAGUUGGAACUUCCAGUUAUCUUGGUAGAAAUUUGCUAUCUUUUUUUCCGCCUCAGCAAAUCAUUUUUUUUCCACAAGGAAUCGUGAUGUCUUUCUACGGAAUUGCGGGUCUCUUUAUUAGCUCUUAUUUGUGGUGCACAAUUUCCUGGAAUGUAGGUAGUGGUUAUGAUCGAUUCGAUAGAAAGGAGGGAAUAGUCUGUAUCUUUCGUUGGGGAUUUCCGGGAAAAAAUCGUCGCAUAUUCCUCCGAUUCCUUAUAAAAGAUAUUCAGUCCGUUAGAAUAGAAGUUAAAGAGGGUAUUUAUGCUCGUCGUGUUCUUUAUAUGGACAUCCGAGGCCAGGGGUCCAUUCCCUUGACCCGUACUGAUGAGAAUUUGACUCCACGAGAAAUUGAACAAAAGGCUGCUGAAUUAGCCUAUUUCUUGCGUGUACCAAUUGAAGUAUUUUGAUAAAUUGAGAAUCAGAACGUUCAUUCAAUUAAAGAAAACGUAUAUGAAAGAACCAUAAAACGAAACUCUUUUUAUGGUCUUUAUGUGCACGCAAUUCAAUAACAAAUAACAAAUCGAAAUAAUAGAUUCAUCUCAGACGGCAAACCAUUUCGAAAGCAAGAAUUUUUUUUAGUUCAAUAUUUGUUGGAAUUGACACUUUAGAUCCAGAUAGAUCGUAUCUUGUAAAUUUGAAAUUCUUUCUUUUGUAUUCUUUAAUGACCAACAAUUGGAUUUCUUAAUUAAAUACUGAGAACUAGCCAAUUUAUCCUUUGCUAGUCAUUUUUUUUUUAUCAUCCUAAUAUCUUUCCCUCAAUUAUUCUAUUCCUGACUAUGGGUAAUCAAUGAAAUUUUUUCGAAAUAUUGGAUAUUUUGAUAGCAAAGGAGUUCUUUCGUCUCAAAAUCUGAAUAAUAUUCAUUACUUAAAGUGGUUCUUUCGGUCAUUCAUCGAAAGGAUACACUUAAUUUUUAAUUUGACCAAUUGAGAUAUCAGGAAACAAUAUUCUCAAUUUCUUCAUUCGAAGUGAAUUCUUAGCCUAUUUCUGUAUUCUUUCUAGAUUCAAAGACUAACCACAAAAUCACAAAGAAAAUAGAUUCAUAAGUUCGAUACCUUGUAUAAAACUCAUGUGUGUAAGAAAUAUUCGAUCGCAUAGAGUGUACGAAUGGGUUGAUUAACAAUUUACAGACGAAAAAAUGGCAAAAAAGAAAGCAUUCACUCCUCUUUUCUAUCUUGCAUCUAUAGUAUUUUUGCCCUGGUGGAUUUCUUUCUCAGUUAAUAAAUGGCUGGAAUCUUGGGUUACUAAUUGGUGGAAUACUGGGCAAUCCCAAAUUGUCUUGAAUAAUAUUCAAGAAAAGAGUCUUCUAGAAAAAUUCAGAGAAUUAGAGGAACUCCUCUUCUUGGACGAAAUGAUCAAGGAAUACUCGGAAACACAUCUCGAAGAGUUUGGGAUAGGAAUCCAUAAAGAAACGAUCCAAUUAAUCACGAUACAAAAUGAGAAUCGUAUGGAUACGAUUUUGCACUUCUCAACAAAUAUAAUCUGGUUUGGUAUUCUAAGCGGGUAUUCAAUUUUGGGUAAGGAAAAACUUGUUAUUCUUAACUCUUGGGCUCAGGAAUUCCUAUAUAACUUAAGUGACACAGCAAAAGCUUUGUGUAUUCUUCUAGUAAGUGAGUUUUUUCUCGGAUAUCAUUCACCCCCAGGUUGGGAAUUCGUUAUACGCUCUAUCUAUAACGAGGUUGGAGUUGUUGCGAAUGAGCAAACUAUAACUAUUCUUGUUUGCAUCCUUCCAGUAAUUUUUGAUACAUGUUUUAAAUAUUGGCUUUUCCGUUAUUUAACUAGUCUGUCUCCGUCAAUUUUACUGCUUUAUGAUUCAAUAACUGAAUGAUAAAGGAUCCAUUGAUAUUAAUCUAAUCCAAUUAGAAUGCUUAGUACUUUGUAGUUGUACAUAAGCAAAGUAUUGAAAAUCAUAUUUACUCUUCCUAUUUCUAACCAUCGGGAAGAUUCAUCCUAGAUUAUUCCAGCAAAUAGCAGAAUCGUGGCUAGGGAACUAUACUAGCGACCUACCCAAUUUAUUGUAGAAAUUUUCGCGAUCAAUGAUUGGACCAUGCAAACUAGAAAUGCUUUUUCUUGGCUAAAGAAACAGAUUACUCGAUCUAUUUCCGUAUCGCUCAUGAUAUAUAUCUUAACUCGGACGUCCAUUUCAAGUGCAUAUCCCAUUUUUGCACAGCAGGGUUAUGAAAAUCCACGAGAAGCGACUGGGCGUAUUGUAUGUGCCAAUUGCCAUUUAGCUAAUAAGCCCGUGGAAAUUGAGGUUCCACAAGCGGUACUUCCUGAUACUGUAUUUGAAGCAGUUGUUCGAAUUCCUUAUGAUAUGCAACUGAAACAGGUUCUUGCUAAUGGUAAAAAAGGGGGGUUGAACGUCGGAGCUGUUCUUAUUUUACCGGAGGGGUUUGAAUUAGCUCCUCCCGAUCGUAUUUCUCCUGAGAUGAAAGAAAAGAUUGGCAAUUUGUCUUUUCAGAGCUAUCGCCCCAAUAAAACAAAUAUUCUUGUGGUAGGCCCUGUCCCUGGUAAAAAAUAUAGUGAAAUAACCUUCCCUAUUCUUUCCCCGGACCCUGCUACUAAGAAGGAUGUUCACUUCUUAAAAUAUCCUAUAUACGUAGGCGGGAACAGGGGAAGGGGUCAGAUUUAUCCCGACGGCAACAAGAGUAACAAUACAGUUUAUAAUGCUACAGCAGCAGGUAUAGUAAGCAAAAUCAUACGAAAAGAAAAAGGGGGGUAUGAGAUAACCAUAACGGAUGCGUCGGAGGGACGUCAAGUGGUUGAUAUUAUCCCUCCCGGACCAGAACUUCUUGUUUCCGAGGGCGAAUCUAUCAAAUUUGAUCAACCAUUAACGAGUAAUCCUAAUGUAGGCGGAUUUGGUCAGGGAGAUGCAGAAAUAGUACUUCAAGAUCCAUUACGUGUCCAAGGACUUUUGUUCUUCUUGGCAUCUGUUAUUUUGGCACAAAUCUUUUUGGUUCUUAAAAAGAAACAGUUCGAGAAGGUUCAAUUGGCCGAAAUGAAUUUCUAGAUUCGCAGAUUUAUCGAUAUCAAGUACGUAAAAAGAACCAAAUUCUUGUUGGCGAUUAUUUAUGAUCAAAAAAAUGAAAUUAUGAAAACUCCUUUGUCUUAUUUAUACUCUUCUUCAAAAUCUACAUUACAUACUCUUUUUCUACGAGAUGCUGGGAAUCCCUUGUACCACAUAGUAUGUAGAUUUUGAAGAAGAGUAUUUGGCUUUCAUUUAUUUUGAUUUAGUUUUUUUUUAAUUGGAGUAGUGUAACUAUGUUACUAUUGCCAGAUUUCACUGCCAUAAAACGUAUCAAUAGUUUUCUAUUCUAAAUAGAAAGAAAGUCAAAUUUGUCUAAAUACUAGACAUAAGGAAGCGGGGGAUAAAUGCGGGGAAGAAAAAAUUCUAGGAGGGAUUAUUUGUCUUCCUAGUCUUCGACACAAGAAAGGGGUGUAGAAAAAUCCUUUUUUCUUGUGUCGAAACGAAAGAGUAAUGAUUCUUGAUCCUGUUU